AGCUCAGCCCAUGCCAGCACGGCUCCACCUGCAUCACCACCAGCCAGGGGCCCAGGUGCGAAUGCGCGCCCGGCUACGUGGGGAGCAACUGCAGCGAGGACUUCAACGACUGCCAGGACCACCGAUGCCAGAACAACGCCCGCUGCCUGGACGAGGUGAACGGCUACUCUUGCCUCUGCACUGAGGGCUACAGUGGACAGCUCUGUGAGAUGCCACCCCGCACUGCCGGCCAGCCUGGCCUCUGUGAGCGAGCUGAGUGCCAGAAUGGGGCCCUGUGCGUGGAGCGGGGUGCCCAUGCUCUCUGCCAGUGCCUGCCUGGCUUUGGUGGCCCCAAGUGUGAGAAGCUGCUGAGCGUCAACUUUGUGGACCGUGACACGUACCUGCAGUUCACAGACCUGCAGGACUGGCCCCGGGCUAAUAUCACCCUGCAGGUGAGG